AGCAGCCGCGGUAAUUCCAGCUCCAAUAGCGUAUAUUAAAGUUGUUGCAGUUAAAAAGCUCGUAGUUGAAUUUCGGGAUUGGCGUAUCGGUCGUGUCUUCGGACAUGUACUGGUAGUUGUCAAUCUCCACCUUCUAGUGAACUAUUAUGCCCUUCACUAGGUGUAAUAGGGAGCUAGGACUGUUACUUUGAAAAAUUAGAGUGUUUAAAGCAGGCUCUACGCUUGAAUAGAUUAGCAUGGAAUAACGAAAUAGGACGGCAUGAUUCUAUUUUGUUGGUUUCUAGGAUCACCGUAAUGAUUAAUAGGGAUAGUUGGGGGCAUUAGUAUUCAAUUGUCAGAGGUGAAAUUCUUGGAUUUAUUGAAGACUAACCACUGCGAAAGCAUUUGCCAAGGAUGUUUUCAUUAAUCAAGAACGAAAGUUAGGGGAUCGAAGACGAUCAGAUACCGUCG
rnacentral:rRNA from 1 species